UACGUAGGGUCCGAGUGUUGUCCGGAAUUACUGGGCGUAAAGAGCUCGUAGGUGGUUUGUCGCGUUGUUCGUGAAAACUCACAGCUCAACUGUGGGCGUGCGGGCGAUACGGGCAGACUGGAGUACUGCAGGGGAGACUGGAAUUCCUGGUGUAGCGGUGGAAUGCGCAGAUAUCAGGAGGAACACCGGUGGCGAAGGCGGGUCUCUGGGCAGUAACUGACGCUGAGGAGCGAAAGCGUGGGGAGCGAACAGG
rnacentral:rRNA from 1 species